rnacentral:rRNA from 1 species
UACGAAGGGUGCAAACGUUGCUCGGAAUCAUUGGGCGUAAAGCGCACGUAGGCGGCCUGAUAAGUCGGAUGUGAAAAUCCCACAGCUUAACUGUGGACGUGCAUUCGAAACUGCCAGGCUCGAGUAUGGAAGAGGGUCGCAGAAUUCCCGGUGUAGAGGUGAAAUUCGUAGAUAUCGGGGAGGAAUACCAGUGGCGAAGGCGGCGACCUGGGCCAAUACUGACGCUGAGGUGGCGAAAGCGUUGGGGAGCAAACAGG